rnacentral:lncRNA from 1 species
CGUUUGUGGAGUUAAAAACAUUGACCACCUAAAAAGUCUCCUCAGAAGCUCUGGGGAAAAUAAGCUCCAAAUGAAUUUCUUUAUUUCUCCACAACUUCCACUUCUAGAUUUCAGUCAAACCGGUUUCUGUGUAUAGACAAAGUCUAAAUGCCAGCCCACAGACAAGGCCUGGCAGAAGUAGCUGCCUUGGAACCACCGUUUUUUGUGUCCAUAAGGAGACACAAAGCAAGAACCUGUGUAUUUUUGCCCUACUUGAAAAUAAAGGUAAUUGCUCAUAAAAAAAAGAACUUCAGAACUAAGUAAUCCACUGCAUGUGUGUGUGUGUGUGUGUGUGUGUGUGUUUACCAGUGCUAGAGUAAUAAUAGAGAAGGAGAAAUUAAGUAUGAUAUUCAAGUUUUUUGUUUUGGGUAACUAGGUGAAUAGUGACAUCAUUCACUGAGGAAAGAGAACGUGAUGAAGAAGCAAAUUCAUAAGGUAAAGAGAAGAAUUCUGUUUCUUGAGUUCUUAAUAUGUGCUAGAUAUCAUGUUAUACACAUUAUAUGCAUUAUCUUAUUCAAUAUUCAGUAACCCUGUUAAAUGAG